AUUAUACUAUUUUUUGGUGCUUUUUUUUUUUAUUAUUGUAGGAUAGCAGUAGUAAUAAUAUGUCUCAAGUGUUAUCAAAAGUAGGAGAUCAAGUAGAAAAAAGAACAAUAAACGAAAUGUUACUUUUAUGUAGAGCUUGGGAAAAUUAUGUCCACCCGAGGGCCAAAGAAUACUGGAAGGAUUCGCAACAACUUCAAAAUAUUCUAUAUUGCAGAUGGUAUUACAAAAAAUGACGACCCUAUUUUGGGUGAUGAUUAUGCAUGCGUUUUUUGGCAUGGGGAAAAAAAUAAAAAUGACAACUGUCCAAUCAUAUCAGUAAAAAAGGGAAAUGAUAACAUUGAAACUAUAACUUACGUCAACCGAGUUCUUAUAUUCUUAUAUGCAGAUGAGGCAAGUUUUCAAGAAUUACAAAAAAAACCUAAGAAGGCAUUUACCAUGGCUUGUGGUAAUAUCAAUUGCAUUAAUUUAACACACAUAUCUUUAGAUGAUUAAGUAUGUAAAUAAGGUAAAAGUGUGAUAAAAUAAAAUAACGCGAGUAAUAAAAACA
rnacentral:lncRNA from 1 species